rnacentral:rRNA from 1 species
UACAGAGGUCCCGAGCGUUGUUCGGAUUCAUUGGGCGUAAAGGGUGCGUAGGCGGCGUGGCAAGUCUGAUGUGAAAUCCCGGGGCUCAACCCCGGAACUGCAUUGGAUACUGCCUUGCUAGAGUACUGGAGAGGGAACUGGAAUUUACGGUGUAGCAGUGAAAUGCGUAGAGAUCGUAAGGAAGGCCAGUGGCGAAGGCGAGUUCCUGGACAGUUACUGACGCUGAGGCACGAAGGCCAGGGGAGCAAACGGG